rnacentral:lncRNA from 1 species
CAAUUCUCCUGCCUCAACCUCCUGCGUAGCUGGGAUUACAGGCCUGCCCAUGGCUGCUCAUGGAACAAUCGGCUAGCGUUUCCUCCCCUCUGAGAUCCAUAAAAGCCGGCAGCUCAGCCAGAGCAGGGCAGAGGGCAGAGGACAGAGAGAUGAUGGGAUGACCCGCUGCAGAGAGGAGCUACCCUCCUGCUGAGAGCUUCAGAGACCUGCAGAGACUUCCAAAUGAUCUGCCUGCAGAGAUGAGCCACGCUUUCCAGGGCUUUCUCUCUGCUGAGAGCUGAGUACUUGAGGAGAGGGCCUGCCUAGGAGCCGACCUGACUACAGAGAGGAGCUGCCCACUGUGGGUCUCUUCUGUUCUAACACUAAAUAAAGCUCCUCUUUAUCUUCUUCA